rnacentral:rRNA from 1 species
CGUGGGUAACCUGCCCAAGAGACUGGGAUAACACCUGGAAACAGAUGCUAAUACCGGAUAACAACACUAGACGCAUGUCUAGAGUUUAAAAGAUGGUUCUGCUAUCACUCUUGGAUGGACCUGCGGUGCAUUAGCUAGUUGGUAAGGUAACGGCUUACCAAGGCAAUGAUGCAUAGCCGAGUUGAGAGACUGAUCGGCCACAUUGGGACUGAGACACGGCCCGAAACUCCUACGGGAGGCAGCAG